rnacentral:rRNA from 1 species
UACGUAGGGUGCGAGCGUUAAUCGGAAUUACUGGGCGUAAAGCGUGCGCAGGCGGUCUGUUAAGACCGAUGUGAAAUCCCCGGGCUUAACCUGGGAACUGCAUUGGUGACUGGCAGGCUUUGAGUGUGGCAGAGGGGGGUAGAAUUCCACGUGUAGCAGUGAAAUGCGUAGAGAUGUGGAGGAAUACCGAUGGCGAAGGCAGCCCCCUGGGACAACACUGACGCUCAUGCACGAAAGCGUGGGGAGCAAACAGG